rnacentral:lncRNA from 1 species
UCUUCAGCCUCCAAGAACCUCACUGACUUUCUUCUCUGUGGCAACCUCAUUUUGGAGGCCAUUGUCCCAAAGAGAGUAGAAGAGCUGAUCAAGAGAAUGGAGAAGGGUGAAGGAUGGAUAGAAAUGAGGAGAAGAAAAGAAUUUUGGGGUGAUUGUCACAGAUUUUAGAAAUUAGGGCUUGAGAUUUUGAUGGAGAGCAAGAGGGAGACGUUUUGAUCAAGGAUAUG